UACGAAGGGGGCUAGCGUUGUUCGGAAUUACUGGGCGUAAAGCGCGCGUAGGCGGACAUUUAAGUCAGGGGUGAAAUGCCGGGGCUCAACCUCGGAACUGCCUUUGAUACUGGAUGUCUUGAGUCCGGGAGAGGUGAGUGGAACUGCGAGUGUAGAGGUGAAAUUCGUAGAUAUUCGCAAGAACACCAGUGGCGAAGGCGGCUCACUGGCCCGGUACUGACGCUGAGGUGCGAAAGCGUGGGGAGCAAACAGG
rnacentral:rRNA from 1 species